GCAUAUUGACUAUAUAUAGGUAACCUUCCGGCGCACGUAAAGCCAUAUUAAUGUUAAUUGGCAAUCAUUUCGCGUUAGUGUUUCGCCACGCUUGCGUGCCGAAUGAUGCAUUAUCUAUGCACCAUGUUCCAGAAAUAAAUAUCAUACACCAGAUCUCUCUCUCUCUCAUAAUAUUCGCAUAUCGUCAGACAAACGACGCGCCGACGGAUAGACAGAGAAACGCGAAGUGUCAGCUGCGACGUUCCUUCUCAGGAAGAAAAGGCGAGGCCCGAGAGGGGAUAACCAUGAGAAGAGUCAUCCUUGCUUGCGUCAUUCACCUGCCGGUGUCCGCGUCCGAUUGAUCCUUGACGGAGGCUCCUCCGUCGAGUUAUUUCCCCCCGUUAUUGUUGGAAGAUCCUGUCGGAUCCCCCGAUUGCGUCGAGAUGGCAAUCACGAGAUGCCAACGCUGCAUAUUCGCGCCUGAGAGGGAUAUUACUCGAAGUUGCACGAGCUCAACGAAGCUUUGUACCAAGAUCCGACCAUUCAAUGACGAUUUAUGUAUUUAUGUAAAGGCUACACAAUUCCAGACAUCUCAAAAGAAGAGUGCGAAUUCCUCGCGUAACGUUCGCAUAACAGAAAGUAAAAGUAGAAAUACACAAGGCAUUCUAAACUUUAUUUUCUUCUAUUCCAACAGUCGCGAAUAUUUAUUAUUUUCUAACAUUAUGAGCAUUGAACUCGUAUAUUUUAUCACUGUCAAGUUUAGC